UUAUAAUACAAAAAAAUAUGGUUAGAAUUGAUUCUACUCAUUUUGUUCCGCUAACUCGUAAGAUGUCGGAUAUUCGCACAUUGUAAUGUCCAUUCAGUUGUAAAGACGGAACUAAUUAUCCGAUCGGAGGGAACAUUGAUAUAAUCGAUAAGCGCGCCGUAUGUAAUUAUAUAGAAUGUUAAAAAUAUCACGCUUUAUUUUACAUUACGUACACCCUGCUCGUUACCAACCGAACGCAUUAUUGUACGCAUUAUUGUACGCAUUAUUGUAUGCGCAGUUUUCGUUCGUACGAAGCCGUGAGAGUGUGAUCAUGUGGGAAAUAUUUUGCAGUUCUCCGUUCGAAAGAGAGUUUCGCGGUUCCGCCGAUAAACGCGAGAUUUUCGAGAGGAAGAAGUCGAGCGAGACGCGGCGGCAAAUCGAUAGAGGAAACGCACGAUGAGACGUAUGAUGAGGGAGAACGUGCCGGCGAUGGUGUAACCUCGUGGCUCGUGGGUCACUGGACAUAAAAAGAGCAGAGGGAAGCUGGAAGAGACAUCUUGUCCGUGGGCUUUCGACAAUUUAAGCGGCGGCAGGAUCAAAGGUCAUGGCAACGCCGCCGGACUCGCCGGGACCGGAAGAGGCGUUCUUCGACUUCGAGAGCACGAGGGCGAGACAACAGACCACCAGACCGGUACCUAUAGAGGAACUUCUGCGACAGACCAAGUUCUCCCGCCAGGAGAUCCGAGUCAUGUACCGAGGCUUCAAGCAGGAGUGUCCCGAGGGAGUAGUGCACGAGGACUCGUUCAAGGACAUUUACGCGAAAUUCUUCCCGCACGGCAACUCCAGUCUCUACGCCCACUACGUGUUCAAGGCCUUCGACGUUAAUUGCAACGGGGCCAUCAGCUUCAGGGACCUUCUGGUAACGCUGUCGACCCUACUGCGGGGUAGCAUUUAUGAGAAACUGAGGUGGACCUUCAAGCUGUACGACAUAAAUGGCGAUGGUUGCAUCACUAGGGGCGAAUUGGGCGAAGUUGUGACAGCAGUCCACGAGCUCAUGGGCAGACGGCAUCACGCCGAGGAGGAAAGGAAAGCGAGAGAACAGCUGGACAGGGUCUUCAAGAAACUCGAUCUCAACCAGGACGGUGUUAUCACGAUCGAGGAGUUUAUCGAGAGUUGUUUGAAGGACGAUGUGAUCACACGGUCGCUGGCGAUGUUCGACUGCGCGCUUUGAUCUCCGGCUAAAGACGAGCCUCCAGCAGCGGUCACCGCGACGCCGCCGACGCCGCUCUCGACGACAACGUUCUCACAAUCCUUAUCCCCGUCGCCGCCGCCGCCGUCCUAUUCCCUGUUGCCGCCUAUCCCGCCACCUCUGCCCUCUCAGCCGCCACCUGGUUACACCGUCCAGGAUCAGGAGCUCUACCUACUCCUGGCUGCCCACUGGUGGAACCAACCAGAGGCGCCGCUUUUUUGUUGAAGGGCAAUGCGAUAAUACGGCUCCUAGCAACGUAGAAUAGCAAUCGAGCAAUUCUAAAUCUGUAGAAUCGAAGAGCGGAUUUUCCAGCAUCUUGUUGCCUCUUCGUUUUCUGCAAAACGUUACGCAAGCAGUACGAGGAUACAUUGUAAGAUGUUCUUGAUCUCGUCGAACGGAACUUAGCAAAGACUCCAUUGCCAUUUCGAUAACAACACAUGGAAAACGAAGAGACCGUUUCAUCUACAUGGACAUGAUCCCGUGACGAUCGCCGGAUAUUUUGGCAAUCAUGGAAACGACAAUUGGCGUCGAUCUCUGGCAAGAUUUUAGCGAAGUUACAAGAACUUGAUUUAAGGUCAAACUGUAUAUUAAUACUCGAAAUAGGUACCUGGCGUAGCUCCUAUAUUAUGAUCUCUCGCGCUUUGUGAAGCAUAGUGUCUAAGAAAAGGACGCCUUCGAAAGUGAAAAGAUGCUGAUCGAGGUUCGAAUAAGAUACGAUCGAUUUCCCUUUCUACGAUUCGUCGCGAGAAGAUUCAGUGAUCAAAGAACCCUUCGUAUCACGAAUUUGUGCCAAAUUUAUGGGAUUUUCAGACGACGACGACGACGACGACGAUGAUGAAGGAACGGGAGAAACAGCGGGGAAGGUGCUAUAUGCGUGGCUGUGAGAUGGAAAUUACAACACAAGAACAAGGAUUUUAAAUUAGUAAAAAAAAAAAAAAGAAAAUA